AUACGUAGGGGGCGAGCGUUGUCCGGAAUGAUUGGGCGUAAAGGGCGCGUAGGCGGCCUGGUAAGUCUGAAGUGAAAGUCCCGCUUUCAAGGUGGGAAUUGCUUUGGAUACUGCUGGGUAUCUAGAGUGCUGGAGAGGUAAGUGGAAUUCCCAGUGUAGCGGUGAAAUGCGUAGAGAUUGGGAGGAACACCAGUGGCGAAGGCGACUUACUGGACUGUAACUGACGCUGAGGCGCGAAAGUGUGGGGAGCAAACAGGAUUAGAUACCCUGGUAGUCCACACUGUAAACGAUGAAUGCUAGGUGUAGGGGGUAUCGACCCCUUCUGUGCCGCAGUUAACACAAUAAGCAUUCCGCCUGGGGAGUACGGCCGCAAGGUUGAAACUCAAAUGAAUUGACGGGG
rnacentral:rRNA from 1 species